AUUGAACGCUGGCGGCAGGCCUAACACAUGCAAGUCGAGCGAGCGGCGGACGGGUGAGUAAUGUAUGGGGACUGCCCGAUAGAGGGGGAUAACUACUGGAAACGGUAGCUAAUACCGCAUACUAUCGGAUAACCCAUAUGGGAUUAGCUAGUAGGUGGGGUAAGGGCUCACCUAGGCGACGAUCCCUAGCUGGUCUGAGAGGAUGAUCAGCCCCACUGGGACUGAGACACGGCCCAUACUCCUACGGAGGCAGCAGUGGGGAAGAUUGCACAAUGGGCGCAAGCCUGAUGCAGCCAUGCCGCGUGUAUGAAGAGGGCCUUAGGGUUGUAAAGUACUUUCAGUCGGGAGGCGUUACCGGCAGAAGAAGCACCGGCUAACUCCGUGCCAGCAGCCGCGGUAAUUC
rnacentral:rRNA from 1 species